GAGUUUGAUCAUGGCUCAGAGCGAACGUUAGCGGCGCGCCUAACACAUGCAAGUCGCACGAGAAGGGGGCAACCCCUGAAAGUGGCGCACGGGUGCGUAACACGUAGAUAACCUGCCCUUCGCAGGGGGAUAACGUUCCGAAAGGAGCGCUAAUACCGCGUACAGCAUUCUGGGGUUAGCCUUGGGAUGACAAAGGCUGGGAUUCGCAAGAACCAGUCGGCGAAGGAGGGGUCUGCGGCCCAUCAGCUAGUUGGUGAGGUAAUGGCUCACCAAGGCGAAGACGGGUAGCUGGUCUGAGAGGAUGAUCAGCCACACUGGGACUGAGACACGGCCCAGACUCCUACGGGAGGCAGCAGUGGGGAAUAUUGGACAAUGGGCGCAAGCCUGAUCCAGCCAUGCCGCGUGGGUGAUGAAGGCCCUAGGGUUGUAAAGCCCUUUCGGCGGGGAAGAUAAUGACGGUACCCGCAGAAGAAGCCCCGGCUAACUUCGUGCCAGCAGCCGCGGUAAUACGAAGGGGGCUAGCGUUGCUCGGAAUCACUGGGCGUAAAGCGCACGUAGGCGGACUCUUAAGUCGGGGGUGAAAUCCUGGAGCUCAACUCCAGAACUGCCUUCGAUACUGGGAGUCUUCGAGUUCGGGAGAGGUGAGUGGAACUGCGAGUGUAGAGGUGAAAUUCGUAGAUAUUCGCAAAA
rnacentral:rRNA from 1 species